UACGAAGGGGGCUAGCGUUGUCUCGGAAUCACUGGGCGUAAAGGGUGCGUAGGCGGGUCUUUAAGUCAGGGGUGAAAUCCUGGAGCUCAACUCCAGAACUGCCUUUUGAUACUGAGGAUCUUGAGUUCGGGAGAGGUGAGUGGAACUGCGAAGUGUAGAGGUGAAAUUCGUAGAUAUUCGCAAGAACACCAGUGGCGAAGGCGGCUCACUGGCCCGAUACUGACGCUGAGGCACGAAAGCGUGGGGAGCAAACAGG
rnacentral:rRNA from 1 species